UAAGGAAUAUUGGUCAAUGGACGCAAGUCUGAACCAGCCAUGCCGCGUGAAGGAUUAAGGUCCUCUGGAUUGUAAACUUCUUUUAUCUGGGACGAAAAAAGGCGAUUCUUCGUCACUUGACGGUACCAGAUGAAUAAGCACCGGCUAACUCCGUGCCAGCAGCCGCGGUAAUACGGAGGGUGCAAGCGUUAUCCGGAUUCACUGGGUUUAAAGGGUGCGUAGGCGGGCAGGUAAAGUCAGUGGUGAAAAUCCCUGGAGCUUAACUCCAGAACUGCCAUUGAUACUAUCUGUCUUGAAUAUUGUGGAGGUAAGCGGAAUAUGUCAUGUAGCGGUGAAAUGCUUAGAUAUGACAUAGAACACCUAUUGCGAAGGCAGCUUACUACGCAUAUAUUGACGCUGAGGCACGAAAGCGUGGGGAUCAAACAGGAUUAGAUACCCUGGUAGUCCACGCCCUAAACGAUGGAUACUCGACAUACGCGAUACACUGUGUGUGUCUGAGCGAAAGCAUUAAGUAUCCCCACCUGGGGAAGUACGACCGCAAGGUUGAAACUCAAAGGAAUUGACGGGGUCAUAGCUGUUUCCUG
rnacentral:rRNA from 1 species